rnacentral:rRNA from 1 species
GGCUAAGGUCGUAACGAUGGAAACCCAGCUUGCUCGGGAGGAUUAGUGGCGAACGGGUGAGUAACACGUGAGUAACCUGCCCUUAACUCUGGGAUAAGCCUGGGAAACUGGGUCUAAUACCGGAUAGGAGCGUCCACCGCAUGGUGGGUGUUGGAAAGAUUUAUCGGUUUUGGAUGGACUCGCGGCCUAUCAGCUUGUUGGUGAGGUAAUGGCUCACCAAGGCGACGACGGGUAGCCGGCCUGAGAGGGUGACCGGCCACACUGGGACUGAGACACGGCCCAGACUCCUACGGGAGGCAGCAGUGGGGAAUAUUGCACAAUGGGCGCAAGCCUGAUGCAGCGACGCCGCGUGAGGGAUGACGGCCUUCGGGUUGUAAACCUCUUUCAGUAGGGAAGAAGCGAAAGUGACGGUACCUGCAGAAGAAGCACCGGCUAACUACGUGCCAGCAGCCGCGGUAAUACGUAGGGUGCGAGCGUUAUCCGGAAUUAUUGGGCGUAAAGAGCUCGUAGGCGGUUUGUCGCGUCUGUCGUGAAAGUCCGGGGCUUAACCCCGGAUCUGCGGUGGGUACGGGCAGACUAGAGUGCAGUAGGGGAGACUGGAAUUCCUGGUGUAGCGGUGGAAUGCGCAGAUAUCAGGAGGAACACCGAUGGCGAAGGCAGGUCUCUGGGCUGUAACUGACGCUGAGGAGCGAAAGCAUGGGGAGCGAACAGGAUUAGAUACCCUGGUAGUCCAUGCCGUAAACGUUGGGCACUAGGUGUGGGGACCAUUCCACGGUUUCCGCGCCGCAGCUAACGCAUUAAGUGCCCCGCCUGGGGAGUACGGCCGCAAGGCUAAAACUCAAAGGAUUUGACGGGGGCCCGCACAAUCUGCCGGAGCAUGCGGAUUAUUCGAUGCAACGCGAAGAACCUUACUAAGCUUGACAUGUUCUCGAUCGCCGUAAAGAUACGUUCCCUUUAGGUGAGGUUCACAGUGGUGCAUGGUGUCG